UUUAACUUUUGAGAAGUCUCUUGAUUCUUGCCACUACGAGGUGAUUUUAUCCAACUAUUACAGGAAAGAAAAUGGGAGCUCAGAAGGUUGGACUGCUUGUUCAAAGUCACCUAGCUAGAGAGCUGCGCAGCUGGAACUAGUAUACAAGUCUAGCUGUUGAAAGCACCCUGAGCACAUUACCUCAUGCUGUACCUUGCAUGUCUUGUUGUUUUCAAUUUUCAGAUGAAGAAACAGUUCCACACACUAAGAGACUUAACGAGGGUACAGUUAGUUUCAGGAGAGCUGGUAGUUUUCAUUCCGUUUAGAACCGGACCUGGUAACUGUUGAUUAUCCUAAUAAAUGCACUUC
rnacentral:lncRNA from 10 species